rnacentral:rRNA from 1 species
UACGAAGGGGGCUAGCGUUGCUCGGAAUGACUGGGCGUAAAGGGCGCGUAGGCGGAUGACACAGUCAGAUGUGAAAUUCCCGGGCUUAACCUGGGGGCUGCAUUUGAUACGUGUUGUCUAGAGUGAGGAAGAGGGUUGUGGAAUUCCCAGUGUAGAGGUGAAAUUCGUAGAUAUUGGGAAGAACACCGGUGGCGAAGGCGACUCGCUGGACAAGUAUUGACGCUGAGGUGCGAAAGCGUGGGGAGCAAACAGG